AUUGAACGCUGGCGGCAGGCCUAACACAUGCAAGUCGAGCGGAUGAAGGGAGCUUGCUCCUGGAUUCAGCGGCGGACGGGUGAGUAAUGCCUAGGAAUCUGCCUGGUAGUGGGGGAUAACGUCCGGAAACGGGCGCUAAUACCGCAUACGUCCUGAGGGAGAAAGUGGGGGAUCUUCGGACCUCACGCUAUCAGAUGAGCCUAGGUCGGAUUAGCUAGUUGGUGGGGUAAAGGCUUACCAAGGCGACGAUCCGUAACUGGUCUGAGAGGAUGAUCAGUCACACUGGAACUGAGACACGGUCCAGACUCCUACGGGAGGCAGCAGUGGGGAAUAUUGGACAAUGGGCGAAAGCCUGAUCCAGCAAUGCCGCGUGUGUGAAGAAGGUCUUCGGAUUGUAAAGCACUUUAAGUUGGGAGGAAGGGAAGUAAGUUAAUACCUUGCUGUUUUGACGUUACCAACAGAAUAAGCCCCGGCUAACUUCGUG
rnacentral:rRNA from 1 species